rnacentral:rRNA from 1 species
UACGUAGGGGCCGAGCGUUGUCCGGAGUUAUUGGGCGUAAAGCGCGCGCAGGCGGCCUCGCGCGCCCGACGUGAAAGCCCCCGGCUUAACCGGGGAGGGUCGUUGGGGACGGCGGGGCUUGAGGGCGGGAGAGGUCGGUGGAAUUCCCGGUGUAGUGGUGAAAUGCGUAGAGAUCGGGAGGAACACCUGUGGCGAAGGCGACUUUCUGGCCUGUUCUUGACGCUGAGGCGCGAAAGCUAGGGGAGCAAACGGG